AGAGUUUGAUCCUGGCUCAGAUUGAACGCUGGCGGCAGGCUUAACACAUGCAAGUCGAGCGGGGAAAGGUAGCUUGCUACUUGACCUAGCGGCGGACGGGUGAGUAACGCUUAGGAAUCUGCCUAUUAGUGGGGGACAACAUCUCGGAAGGGAUGCUAAUACCGCAUACGUCCUACGGGAGAAAGCAGGGGACCUUCGGGCCUUGCGCUAAUAGAUGAGCCUAAGUCGGAUUAGCUGGUUGGUGGGGUAAAGGCCUACCAAGGCGACGAUCUGUAGCGGGUCUGAGAGGAUGAUCCGCCACACUGGGACUGAGACACGGCCCAGACUCCUACGGGAGGCAGCAGUGGGGAAUAUUGGACAAUGGGGGGAACCCUGAUCCAGCCAUGCCGCGUGUGUGAAGAAGGCCUUUUGGUUGUAAAGCACUUUAAGCGAGGAGGAGGCUACCGAGAUUAAUACUCUUGGAUAGUGGACGUUACUCGCAGAAUAAGCACCGGCUAACUCUGUGCCAGCAGCCGCGGUAAUACAGAGGGUGCAAGCGUUAAUCGGAUUUACUGGGCGUAAAGCGCGCGUAGGUGGCCAAUUAAGUCAAAUGUGAAAUCCCCGAGCUUAACUUGGGAAUUGCAUUCGAUACUGGUUGGCUAGAGUAUGGGAGAGGAUGGUAGAAUUCCAGGUGUAGCGGUGAAAUGCGUAGAGAUCUGGAGGAAUACCGAUGGCGAAGGCAGCCAUCUGGCCUAAUACUGACACUGAGGUGCGAAAGCAUGGGGAGCAAACAGGAUUAGAUACCCUGGUAGUCC
rnacentral:rRNA from 1 species